rnacentral:rRNA from 1 species
CCCUAGACCGACAUCCGAUACGGGACUAGCUUGAGUUUGGUAGAGGAAGACUGGAAUUCCUGGUGUAGCGGUGAAUGCGCAGAUAUCAGGAGGAACACCAAUGGCGAGGCAGGUCUCUGGGCCAAUACUGACACUGAGGAGCGAAAAGUGUGGGGAGCGAACAGGAUUAGAUACCCUGGUAGUCCACACAGUAAACGAUGGGCACUAGUUGUGGGAACCUUCCACGGUUUCUGCGACGCAGCUAACGCAUUAAGUGCCCCGCCUGGGGAGUACGAUCGCAAGAUUAAAACUCAAAGGAAUUGACGGGGCCCCGCACAAGCAGCGGAGCAUGCGGCUUAAUUCGACGCAACGCGAAGAACCUUACCAAGGCUUGACAUAUACAGGAAUAUGGCAGAGAUGUCAUAGCCGCAAGGUCUGUAUACAGGUGGUGCAUGGUUGUCGUCAGCUCGUGUCGUGAGAUGUUGGGUUAAGUCCCGCAACGAGCGCAACCCUCGUUCUGUGUUGCCAGCAUUUAGUUGGGGACUCACAGGAGACUGCCGGGGUCAACUCGGAGGAAGGUGGGGAUGACGUCAAAUCAUCAUGCCCCUUAUGUCUUGGGCUGCACGCAUGCUACAAUGGCUGGUACAAAGGGCUGCAAUACUGCGAAGUGGAGCGAAUCCCAAAAAGCCAGUCUCAGUUCGGAUUGGGGUCUGCAACUCGACCCCAUGAAGUCGGAGUUGCUAGUAAUCGUAGAUCAGCAACGCUACGGUGAAUACGUUCCCGGGGCUUGUACACACCGCCCGUCACAUCACGAAAGUCGGUAACACCCGAAGUCAGUGGCCCAACCGUAAGGGGGGAGCUGCCGAAGGUGGGAUCGGUGAUUGGGAUGAAGUCGUAACAAGGUAACC